ACCCCUUGCGGAAGGAACCCAGUUUUUUCCAUGUCCGAAGGUCAAUUUUCAGUUCAAUUUCCCAACUCGACGUGGGAUCUUUAGUCCAUUUCAGGGAUGAGGGACCUAUUCACCUUCACUCUGCGCAGAGUUGAAAUCCCCAAGAACGCUCCGACGGACUGCGAUUUGAGAGAAAGAACAGCCAAAUCCGCAUCCAUAUCUUCCCAUAUUCUUUACCUCCUUCUGUUCGUUAAUUCUCUUCGUCUCUCUUCAUCAGGUUUCAUCUUCCAAGAAUGACACAUGGAAUGUCUUGAAGCUUGCUCGAGAGUCACGAGCUAGUACUACAAAUCCAGGGAUACCACCAUUGUGAGAUCUCACAUCGGGUGGGAAGGAGAAUGAAAUAUUCCUUAUAAGGGUGUGGAAACCUCUUCGUAGUAGACGCAUUUUAAAAACUUUGAGGGGAAGCUCGAAAACGAAAGUCCAAAGAGGGCAAUAUCUGUUAGCGGUGGACUUGGGCUGUUACAACCAUCUUCGUUGAUGGCAUUUUUAACCCAGAACUCGCAGAUAUCUGGGGCGGUAUUAGAAGACUUCCAUACUAGCUUUACCAAUCAAUUUUACCAGAGUCACCUUGAUGAUUUUCAGGUACGUUGGAGCAUACUCAACAAGACUGAAGUUCAAAUCUGGACCUUGGAAUGUGCUUCCUCCAAAUUCAUCAGCCCCGCUGGGGGCUGUCGAUUCUGUUUGGACAGAGCAAUUGGUAUACCACAAGGCUCCGAAUGUAUACCGUCCAAGCUACUGCUUAUGAUCAUUUUGUUUUACUUCUUGGCAUUACUACCACAAUCUUAGCUUAUUUCGCACUUUUCUUGGUAGCGUACUUUGUGAUUGUGCGGUACUCAUUUUCCAACAACAAGUGAGUCAAGUCAAUACACGCGUCGCCUACGGUUGGGUAACAUAUGCUCAAGCCUCUGGCCUCAAUUUGAAAAAAAGGAUUUAGAAAACGGGGUAAAGAAAUUUUGAAAGAGAGUUUGAAAGCAAAGAUUAAGAGAGAUGGAAAACAAUGUUAUGUGACAUACAAGCAAAAUGCCAUACACUGACUUAAGUAGCAUAUAACUUUUUA